UAGGGAAUCUUCGGCAAUGGACGAAAGUCUGACCGAGCAACGCCGCGUGAGUGAAGAAGGCCUUCGGAUCGUAAAACUCUGUUGUUAGAGAAGAACAAGGACGUUAGUAACUGAACGUCCCCCGACGGUAUCUAACCAGAAAGCCACGGCUAACUACGUGCCAGCAGCCGCGGUAAUACGUAGGUGGCAAGCGUUGUCCGGAUUUAUUGGGCGUAAAGCGAGCGCAGGCGGUUUAUUAGGGCUGAUGUGAAAGCCCCCGGCUCAACCGGGGAGGGUCAUUGGAAACUGGGAGACUUGAGUGCAGAAGAGGAGAGUGGAAUUCCAUGUGUAGCGGUGAAAUGCGUAGAUAUAUGGAGGAACACCAGUGGCGAAGGCGGCGCUCUGGUCUGUAACUGACGAUGAGGCUCGAAAGCGUGGGGAGGAGACAGG
rnacentral:rRNA from 1 species